UGGGGAAUAUUGGACAAUGGAGGAAACUCUGAUCCAGCAAUUCUGUGUGUGUGAAGAAGGCUUUAGGACUGUAAAACACUUUUAGUAGGGAAGAAAAAAAUGACGGUACCUACAGAAGAAGCAACGGCUAAAUACGUGCCAGCAGCCGCGGUAAUACGUAUGUUGCGAGCGUUAUCCGGAAUUAGUGGGCUUAAAGGGCAUCUAGGCGGUAAGACAAGUUGAAGGUGAAAACCUGUGGCUCAACCAUAGGCUUGCCUACAAAACUGUUGAACUAGAGUACUGGAAAGGUGGGUGGAACUACACGAGUAGAGGUGAAAUUCGUAGAUAUGUGUAGGAAUGCCGAUGAUGAAGAUAACUCACUGGACAGAAACUGACGCUGAAGUGCGAAAGCUAGGGGAGCAAACAGG
rnacentral:rRNA from 1 species